UGGGGAAUAUUGCACAAUGGGCGAAAGCCUGAUGCAGCAACGCCGCGUGAGUGAUGAAGGCCUUCGGGUUGUAAAGCUCUGUCUUUUGGGACGAUAAAUGACGGUACCAAAGGAGGAAGCCACGGCUAACUACGUGCCAGCAGCCGCGGUAAUACGUAGGUGGCAAGCGUUGUCCGGAUUUACUGGGCGUAAAAGGAUGCGUAGGCGGAUUUUUAAGUGAGAUGUGAAAUACCCGGGCUUAAACUUGGGUGCUGCAUUUCAAACUGGGAAUCUAGAGUGCGGGAGAGGAGAAUGGAAUUCCUAGUGUAGCGGUGAAAAUGCGUAGAGAUUAGGAAGAACACCAGUGGCGAAAGGCGAUUCUCUGGACCGUAACUGACGCUGAGGCAUGAAAGCGUGGGUAGCAAAACAGAUUAGAUACCCUGGUAGUCCACGCCGUAAAACGAUGAGUACUAGGUGUAGGAGGUAUCGACCCCUUCUGUGCCGCAGUUAAACACAAAUAAAGUACUCCGCCUGGGAAGUACGAUCGCAAGAUUAAAAACUCAAAAGGAAUUGACGGGGUCAAUAGCUGUUUCCU
rnacentral:rRNA from 1 species